AGUGAACGCUGGCGGCAGGCCUAACACAUGCAAGUCGAGCGGCAGCGCGUCCGACCACCCUCGGGUGGUCGGAUGGCGGCGAGCGGCGGACGGGUGAGGAAUGCAUCGGAAUCUGCCUCGUUGUGGGGGAUAACGUAGGGAAACUUACGCUAAUACCGCAUACGACCUACGGGUGAAAGUGGGGGACCUUCGGGCCUCACGCGAUGAGAUGAGCCGAUGCCGGAUUAGCUAGUUGGCGGGGUAAAGGCCCACCAAGGCGACGAUCCGUAGCUGGUCUGAGAGGAUGAUCAGCCACACUGGAACUGAGACACGGUCCAGACUCCUACGGGAGGCAGCAGUGGGGAAUAUUGCACAAUGGGCGAAAGCCUGAUGCAGCAAUGCCGCGUGUGUGAAGAAGGCCUGCGGGUUGUAAAGCGACUUUCAGUAGGGAGGAAACAGUAGCCGGUUAAUAUCCGGUUGCCUUGACGUUACCUACAGAAGAAGCACCGGCUAACU
rnacentral:rRNA from 1 species